rnacentral:lncRNA from 1 species
UCUCUAGUCUUCUUUGCAAACUGCACUUGCAGGGUUUCUCUCUCUCUCUCUCUCUCUCUCUCUCUCUCUCUGCGUAUUAACCAUACAUAUACAACAUACACACACAAAUAUAUCUGAGCUAGCCCCACCUCUCUUUCAUUCUUAGCUAUAUAGCCAAACUCUACAAUAAGGUUUCUGCAGCUUCUUCUUUGCAAACUGCAAACUGCAUGUACGGGGUCUCACUCUCUCUCUCUCUCUCUCUCUCUCUCUCUCUCUCUCUCUCUCUCUCUCACACACACACACACACACACACAAAUAUCCGUACACACUAUAUAUACAACAAUUGAGACAUUUACAAAAUAUGGAAAGCUAGGGGAUCCUAUGAUUAAUCUGCACUAUAUAUAAGAUUUUCUUGAAUAUGCACUUAUAUAUGUAUAUAUAUUUACCUAGCUACUUAGCUCAUCUUUAUGGUGUAUUGUUACUUAUACAUUGCAUAUGCAUGAAACAGGUUCUUACUGAGAAGAUAUAUAUAUACCUUGAUAUAUAAUUAAUAAGAAAGAGAUAUUGA